rnacentral:rRNA from 1 species
UACGAAGGGUGCAAGCGUUACUCGGAAUUACUGGGCGUAAAGGGUGCGUAGGUGGUCGUUUAAGUCCGUUGUGAAAUCCCUGGGCUCAACCUGGGAAUGGCAGUGGAUACUGGACGGCUAGAAUGCGGUAGAGGGUAGUGGAAUUCCUGGUGUAGCGGUGAAAUGCGCAGAUAUCAGGAAGAACACCCGUGGCGAAGGCGGCUCUCUGGAACGCAACUGACGCUGAGACGCGAAAGCGUGGGGAGCAAACAGG